ACCAGAGUCACAUGCUGGUUAUUAGGUGUCAGUUUGUUGUUUUUCUUUGUUGCCACCUUAGAAAAAAACCCAGCUCCCUCACUAGACAAUGUCUCUGCACUUCAAAACUAAAUCAUUUGUCAGAGUGCCACAGCAGGUGCUCUUUUGUUGGUACAUCAACAACAAAAAGCUUGGUAGUCAGCACAGGCAGAAGUGUGCAGUGUUUAAAUCAUAAAUACACUCUAACAGAGUGUGUUUUUUGUUUAUUCCCUUUUGGGAUAGCUAAAGGCUGUGUGACGAGGGGGCUCAUGACAAAGACCUCAUUGCUUCUUCAAAUCCCCGACUCUCUGGUCAUCCACCAGCUGCAACCACUGAGGCUGUCAGGACGCCCUGGAGCAAGGCACUUUACUGUUUAACUACAGAAACAUUAGUUGCAGCGGAGCAGUCAAAUCUAUUGAGAACAAUGUGGGUGUACUGUGUGGUUCUUUGAAGGUUUAAAGCAGCUGUUCACAGACUUAAAACUUUAAUGAAUGAUCUCAUUAUUCAUUUCUUGUAAGGACCCAAGAAUUCUGUUUAAAGUUGUAAAUCUGUCUCUGUCCUUGCCGCUAUUUGACCAAUACUAAACCAGAAAGGGUGGCUCUCUUCAUGGAAGAUAGUGAGGGUUUCUAACUAAAAACCGACCAGAAAUGUGACCCCAUGCACAAUGAGGCCCAGAAGUGUGGUGACAGACUUUUGGAUCCCACUGUAUCCUCAUUUCAAUGCCAUAAAUAUUAAUUUCUAGAUUAUUUUUUGUAUUGUUUUAUGAGGGCUUAUUUUGAAGAUAGUGUAGUUUAAAUUUCUUAGCAAGCGUUUAAUAAUGAGUUGGCAAAAAGUAAUUUGAGGAGAGGUUAACAAAGUAAAGUUUGGCAGAAACUGAUAUAAAUCUACCUGUCAGGUAAGUCCCACGUUCUCAUAUCAUACUGUGGUUACUAAGGGCUUACCCAUUUGCUUAUAAAAACGUUAAAAGCAUCAACAACCUGGACGCCCACGCAAAAUGAAGAGAGCGGAAAUGGAAGCACGUUUUAAAACAACCGGGGAUGGGUCACUGAAAACUUUAACUCUACAGUUCCGAAGAGUAACAGCAUCCGAGUUAGAAAUGUGGUAGCUACAGUGGCUAUAACCCCGGGGUCUCGGGAUGAAAGGAGUGAUCUUCAAGGCCAGCUUUCAUUCAUUCUGAACUAGUUGGCCAGUCGCUCCAGCCUGCGCUAACAGCGUUGGCCACAACUACACUCUCUUUAGCUUGUUAGCGUGCGAGCCACCUAGCUGCGGUACUUAACUGACGUUAACACGGCGGUAAAUGUUUGGAUGUGAACAGACACGACGGUUCCGACAGCUUCGGCUAACCUCACUAAGUCACUGGAAAGAUGGCUAAGCUAGCUAGCGACACGGUCGGCGGCGAUAAGAGACAGCCGCUACGGUGUGACCGCGGCGUUUGUCAACCAGCCGGGAGUAAGAUGAUGACAUCCUUCCCAGCGUCUGCUGAUGCACCAUAAACCUGCUGUAUAUUAGUCAUUGCUCAAUCAUCCUUGACCUCAUUUACUGCAGUUGAAUCAUUAAUUCACUCUUAAUGACAGCACUGCAGCAGCUAUGUUUCCCAGAUCCUCUGCACUCAUACUGCAAGAGCUGUAUUUUACAUGUAGGCUACUGUAGUGAUAUGUGAACACAAUCAUUCGGCUCUUAUCAAGAAUAUUUUAGUUUUUUUAUUUUCAAAUUACAGACCCAUUUUAAAAUGUGACAGCUUAAAAGAAUGUUUUAUGGAUUGUUUUGCAACAACAGAUGUACUGAUGGGUGACAAAAUAAAGGAAAAACAGACGCCCUGUGUUUUAUUAAUGUGUUAAGACCCCACCAGCCACUAGAUCAGCUUCAGUGCUCCUUUGCUUGUUGGAGAAAUGAAACUUAACUUUUCAACAUAAUUCCUCAUUUGGUGUUUUGAUUAUUCAAAUAAGCUGAAGAAACGCCCUGAUCAGCAGCCUGUAACGGAGAUAGUCUGCAUUUUGCUUGCAUUUUUAAAGAGGAACUCAGGGCUACCCAAGAGGCUCUGUUUUCUUGUCAUAGAGAGUACUUCUUAGCCCAGUGAAAAAGUUAUAUGAGACCUUUUGUGGUUCUGGAUUGAGCUUUCCAAAGUAGGAAAAAAUAACCCUGAUGAUGUUGUCAGGGUUAUUUGGGUCUCAAGGCUUAACGUUUUAAUAGAAAGCCUAGGUUAACAAACUGUAGAUGGGGGGUUUUAAAAAUAAGGCCAUUUAGGAGACAAGGGUCUACUGAAAGCUGCUUCUGAGUUGCAGUAUGGGAAAUGUAGGAUCCAACAUUUUUUAUCUUGACUGAUGCUACGAUAAAAAUUAGGUUAUCCCUGAGCAUUCAUUUUUAAUCUGGCCUUUGUGAGUUCCCCAACUUUAUGGAAGCACAAUACACCCCAGUUCUAAUUUCAGUUGGCAUGCCACCCCAAAAUGACCUUUAGCACAGCAUUGUUCUGAAAAAUGUUGCUGAUAACAAUACACUUUUCUGUUUUUGACCAUAUAUAAUCAAGAUUACAUGACUGAACAGUUUGUUCAUUGAUAAAAAGACUGAAUUUUAUUUAAUUAAAAUAUCCCAACUUCUCUCCGGAGCACCUAAUAGAAUAAACGCAUCAGAGCGGUGGUCAACCUUUCUCAACAUAAAAAACCCCCAACAACAUCAUGUUUUUGAUUAAACCAUGAUUUAUUAUUCCUAAUAUUAGAUGUAGAUACACAAGUCAACAAACAUUAUUUUCGAUUUGUAAUGAAAAUGCUCCACAGCACACUGACAUCGUGUGGAAGGGUCUGGUAUUACAGACACGUACCUGAAAAUGGACAGCAGUUAUAAUUUUUGCAAUAAGUUGCAUUAGUAACAGUAGUAGUAAUAGUAACAACAGUAGCAAUAAUGAUAAUAAUAGCAAUUAAUAAUAGUGGUGGUAUUAACAACUCUGAAUUACAGAGGAAGGAACAGACAUUCGUCAAAAGUAAUGAGAAAUGAAGGUAGUCGGACAGGCUUAUCAAAUGCUGCAAGACAGACCACUAGAUGAAAAAAUACAAGCUCCCUCUAGACAGCAAAUAUCCUGCCUUCUUCUAAAAAAGGAAGCUCAAAUAUUCAUCAGUCUGUUUCACUCAUAUCUAAUACUCAACAAGUAAAAGUUUUUUUUUUUCUUCAUUACGUACUCCAUUGUCACAAGUACUCUCAUAACAAAAAACCCAUCUCUUUGACAUCAAUAACACAUACUUUCUAUGUUCUGGUCAAAGCUCACCAGUAGCACAAAGUUAUUUUAAAAGGAUGCAUUAUGCAACAUCGAAUCACAGCCAGCUGAGGACAUUUCCACAAGACUGGAUUGCCAGGGUCAUUCUGCAUUAAAUAUACAGUACAGUAUCAAUGUGUGAGUGUGUUGAAAGAGAGAGAGCUCGUGUACAGUAUGUCAAGUAUGAGAAAUAUUUUUGCUUCACAUGACCAAUUUGGCCAAACUAAUUUGAAUCAUCACACAUUCAAAUGAGCUGAUAAGAAAAUACACUGUGUGACCUUUAUACUUGAACUCCCUAACAUCGACUGGAUGCUGUGCCUGAUGUCCAGGGCAGAGAAAAGGUAGCAAUAGUCACUAAAACAGCUCGUCCACUGGGGAAGAAAAAGAAUGACACCUCCAUUUAAAAUUGUGCACAAUGUAUGUUAACUGUGUCGGCUCACUUAUGUAUGCAAUGACCCUAUUAACCUGGUUAGCCUUUAGGUUGAGGCUGCUUAAUCUAGGCUGAAACUAGGAGUUCUGUCACAUCCCCAGGAUGCAAAGUCCCACUGACAGAGACAAGGCAAGUUUGAUAAAGUUUGGAGCGGUUGCUUUUAAAUGAACCCAGUUCAAUAGUCUCAAAGUGGAUCUUCAGAUACUUUGGAGAAUGUCUGAUUUGAGCAGUGGUUCCACAUUCAUCUGGGACUGGAAAAUAAGGCCAACUUGUUUAAACUGCAACCAAAUGCAAGUUUACUUCCAGCUGUUUGUGUUACCACAACAGUUUGGUGUGACAUUCCUGCAAACUAGUCAGCCCUCUAAGGCAUGGUACACACAUCCAGUACCAGCUUUAAAGAGUUACUUUCAAGAGUCCUGGUCAAUAUGAUAAAUUACAAAUAAUUGAUUACCUGCAACCUACCUAUAAGAUAAUCCAUGAAACUCUUGAAUUCAGAUUUCUUGUCCAGUAACUUCCUGCUGCAUUUUGGCAGUUACUAAAGGCAAAUUAACACUUGAGUUUAAGUGACUGACUAUAGUAAGAGUUACCAACCAAUCCAAUGGCCUCAAUAUAUUUAUAUAAAAUUGCGCUACUGCCUACAAUCUCAGAAUAUACUGUUAAUGUCCUUUUCUUUUCAAACAUGUACAGUAUUUGAGGAAAUUAAUGAACAUAUAUCUUUUAAAAAUUAUAUUAACUAUAUUAGAUUGCCAUUAUCUUGUUUUAGAUAAUUGUUAACGCCAAUUACAUAUAUUAGUUGCUCUCCAACCCUGAAUAUGAAGUGGUCUCAUGUUUUCAGAGUACAUCGACACAGAAGAGAACAGAUGAGGAGACACAUACAAGUAUAAACCUACAUGAAGUCAUGCCACAUACGCAAGAGCACAAAGCUCGUCUAAGAGAGAAUUUUCCCUCUCUGUCACCGCCAGUGAGCAGAGCUUUCCAUGGUUUCUGUUAAUUCAUAUUGUACCUGCAAACAUAAUCCACUGACAUACAUUAGAUCAUUGCCACAGGGCACAUUUUAAACAUUCUUAUCCUUGUACUACAAAAGCCUCCUUUAAGAUUGUUUGAAUGGAAGGUGGGUUUGUAAAAAGGGUUGUGUGUGUCUGUUGUGGGUUCAAGUAAGGCUCAGUACACCUCUCUGUCAGGUAGCACAUAAAGCGCAUCCUUCACUACCUCUUCAAUCUCACUUCCACACCCCUCACUUCACCUGUAAUGAGACCUGUCAGCUGUCCAUCUGUCCUGCUCACGUGUGCUUCAGCUUUUUAUCUACAAACUGCUCCACGCCUUCACAUCAGGAGGUGGAGAGAGAACAGAAAUUGCUAUUAGAAGACUGGAACAGAAAUAAUGAAACCGUCUUGAGGAACUUCAUUGGUAACAUCAUCUUACAUAUAAUAAAAACCAAAAGCAAAGAAAAGCUAAUUUUACCAAAUCAUUCCAGUAAUAUUACUUUGAGUCUGUGUCUGGUUUUCGUCUGCAUUUGCGUACCGAAAAGCAGCAUCCACCUGGCCACGUCUGAUUAUGAAUUACACAAACGUGCAAAAUCCACAGCACCACAACUCACACACACACGCACACACACGCACACACUCUAGAAAACUAAUCUUCUCUGCUUUGUACAGAAAAAAAGAACGUUGAAAAUUAAGCAGGAAAGAUCACGCAAAAGAAAUAAUCAAGUACAGGCAAAAUAAAAAAUAAAACCACUUAUUUAUAUAUAUAUAUAUAUAUAUAUAUAUAUAUAUAUAUAUGUGUGUGUGUGUGUGUGUGUGUGUGUGUGUGUGUGUGUGUGUAUAAAAUUUUAAAAUUAAAAGUUAAUAAAAUUUUCCCAAUGAAACUUGUGAUCACUUACUGCACACUAUUAAAAUUUAAAGAGCUUUAUUUUUUUCUCAAAACACUCAAUUAACUGUCUUUCCUAAACAAAAAAAAGAAGAGAGAAACAAAAUAAUACAUACAAGGGCAAGCCCAA